rnacentral:rRNA from 1 species
AUUGAACGCUGGCGGCAGGCCUAACACAUGCAAGUCGAGCGGAUGAAGGGAGCUUGCUCCUGGAUUCAGCGGCGGACGGGUGAGUAAUGCCUAGGAAUCUGCCUGGUAGUGGGGGAUAACGUCCGGAAACGGGCGCUAAUACCGCAUACGUCCUGAGGGAGAAAGUGGGGGAUCUUCGGACCUCACGCUAUCAGAUGAGCCUAGGUCGGAUUAGCUAGUUGGUGGGGUAAAGGCCUACCAAGGCGACGAUCCGUAACUGGUCUGAGAGGAUGAUCAGUCACAAUGGAACUGAGACACGGUCCAGACUCCUACGGGAGGCAGCAGUGGGGAAUAUUGGACCAUGGGCGAAAGCCUGAUCCAGCCAUGCCGCGUGUGUGAAGAAGGUCUUCGGAUUGUAAAGCACUUUAAGUUGGGAGGCAGGUCAGUAAGUUAAUACCUUGCUGUUUUGACGUUACCAACAGAAUAAGCACCGGCUAACUUCGUG